AUUUUGUUAACAGCAGUCACAGAUGACUUGUCUAUGCCUCCAUUUUUCCAUUUCUUACUUCAAAAGUUUUGCUUGUGAAAAGGCACACAUUUGCGAAAGCCAUUUUCGUUCUGGCAUCUCGACUUACAUGAAGGUGACUUCUGCCUCCUCCUCCUUUCUUAAGGGAUACCUCCUAAUGAUUUAUCUUGGCAGUUCAACCUUCAAAGAGUUUGGGUAAACAGAAGGCAUUGGUUGUAGUCUUGGAGGACGGUUGUAUCGAAGGCGGUCAACGAGAGACCGAUGCCACUACCGACGAAAGCCUUCAAUAAAUCGUCCAUGGAGGAGUAUAUUCGAG